rnacentral:ncRNA from 1 species
GAAAGCCGUGUGCAAUGAAAAAUGCAAGCACAGCUUGGAGAGGGAUUUUUUUUACCUAUUUAUUAACAAACAAAGAAAAUUUCUACUCUAU